rnacentral:rRNA from 1 species
GGGUAAACGGACAGAGCCCGUGAAUCCGGGCGGCAGAAUUCAGAAUCGAUGCGGCGGCGGUCCGCUGUCGUCGUGUCGGUUUAAUAUUUCUGUCGCCGUUGGACGUCGCGACCCGUUUGGUGUCGGUCUUAGGGGCCGCGUUCAAGUUCGCGACCGUGUUUCGCUCUCGGGUGUGCACGGGCGUGAGGAGCGUGGUUUUCCGGCCGACUCGCCAGACGGUACGCUACUGGUGACCGUCGUCGUCUUGCGCGGCGUACGGUACCGGUCUGCGACGAAUUUU